rnacentral:rRNA from 1 species
UGCUAGUUGUACGAGUUUAGACUCGUAGCAGAUAGCUCAGUAACACGUGGCCAAACUACCCUCUGGAGCGCGACAACCUCGGGAAACUGAGGCUAAUCGUGCAUACCGCUCUCACGCUGGAAGUUGCGGAGAGCUCGAAAUGCCCCGGCGCCAGAGGAUGUGGCUGCGGCCGAUUAGGUAGACGGUGGGGUAACGGCCCACCGUGCCAGUAAUCGGUACGGGUUGUGAGAGCAAGAGCCCGGAGACGGUAUCUGAGACAAGAUACCGGGCCCUACGGGGCGCAGCAGGCGCGAAACCUUUACACUGCACGCCAGUGCGAUAAGGGGACUCCAAGUGCGAGGGCAUAGAGCCCUCGCUUUUCUGUACCGUAAGGUGGUACAAGAAUAAGUGCUGGGCAAGACCGGUGCCAGCCGCCGCGGUAAUACCGGCAGCACGAGUGAUGGCCGCUCUUAUUGGGCCUAAAGCGUCCGUAGCUGGCCGCGCAAGUCCAUCGGGAAAUCCGCACGCCUAACGUGCGGGCGUCCGGUGGAAACUGCGUGGCUUGGGACCGGAAGAUCCAGAGGGUACGUCCGGGGUAGGAGUGAAAUCCCGUAAUCCUGGACGGACCACCGGUGGCGAAAGCGCUCUGGAAAGACGGAUCCGACGGUGAGGGACGAAAGCUCGGGUCACGAACCGGAUUAGAUACCCGGGUAGUCCGAGCUGUAAACGAUGUCUGCUAGGUGUGCCACAGGCUACGAGCCUGUGGUGUGCCGUAGGGAAGCCGUGAAGCAGACCGCCUGGGAAGUACGUCCGCAAGGAUGAAACUUAAAGGAAUUGGCGGGGGAGCACUACAACCGGAGGAGCCUGCGGUUUAAUUGGACUCAACGCCGGACAUCUCACCAGCAUCGACAGUAGCAAUGAAGAUCA